UAUUUCAUGCUUCGGCUCUCAAUAUUAAAGUUGUAACUGUGGCCACUGUGGCAGUGAUGGCAGUAUCCCUAAACCACCUAAACGUAUCGUACCCAUGUGUGUAAAUUAGAUCAACUAGAUCUAUCGGAUAAUCCAAAAUAAACAGCGUAUAGAGACGUCAACUGCGGUUUGUGAGUAUGGAGGAAAGUAGUAGUGACGAAGGAAAAGUGUAUUCUUACUACAGUUUUAUGCCAAAAAAUGGUACAGAGGAUAAUAGUUUAAAACCAGACCUAGGUCUUGGCAAUACACAGACAGCCGAGAAAAAAGGUAUUGUUGAGAAUUACGGCUCAGGGAAUGAUAUGCCAAAGAGAGAGGAAAAUCCAUUUUCAUUUAAACAUUUUCUCAAGCGUGAUGCAGGAAACAAUUACAGCAGUACUGGUGCAAGACGAAAAGUGCAUUCUGAUGUACUCGCUUGUGGACACUUAUCACCAGCGUCAUCUGAUUCAGAUCCUGGAUGGCUUAGGACGAGUGUAUUGCGUGGCCGUCGCCAAGGUGGAACCCCUGAAUUGACGUCGGCACUUCCAGAUUUUGUUCAGGAUCAUCUUGUAGUAGAACAGUGUUAUCUGAACCAUUCUGAGAGCUCAAACACAUCUCAAAUUGCAGUGGAUAUUCCAGUUGAUUUGGCAGGCACCGCAGGAAAUCAGAACUUACCAAAAAAUGUUGGGAAUGGCUCAGGACCUGUACCCCUAGAUUUACCAAGUUCUGACAGAAGUCCCACUGAAAGCAUAGGAAAGUUGACAACUCAUGGUGGUGGUUUGCCAUUUGAUCUCCCUCUUGUUAGUGAUGCUAAAGAUGGGGCUGUGAGUGCGUCCUCAUCUGGAGUCAGGAGUGGUAUGCAGAUUGGUGAAGUGGGAGUGUCAAAGAGUCUGCCUGACUUUCUUUCUGAUGGACCUAUUCAUAGUGGUCAUCAUAAUGACGUGGAUCAACCCAUUGAUGACUCUUUGGGUGCAGGUACGAGCGACACCAUAUCAGGAUCACAGUCCCCAGACUCACACAGGUUACAGUUGGAAAAUGAGACCUUGAGAAGAAAAUUAGAAGUAUUAAGGCGGCAACGUGCAAACCAAGCAAGAAGAAUCCAGUACUUGGAGCGUGACAUUUUCACCAUUCGCGCGAAGGAACACAAGGAAACGGCAAAACUUGAAAAGGCAAUCGAAUUGGUGGAAGACAACUUGAAAAGAACUACUAGAAGAGCUGUAAAUGCAGAACAUUCUGUUUCCAAGUUGAAGCAGGAACUGAAGAUUGUGUCGAACGAAUUGACGGUUCUACGUCAGGAGAAUCGAGAAUUGCAGUGUGGUCGAUCAGGUGCCGGUGCUUCAGUUGAACCAGAGAGUGAGUUGCAGAUGCAGCAACUUGCGCACGAACUGAGGGUGGCAGCUAGCACAGCAGAACAGUCGCUGAGACAACUUUUGAAUGGUGUUGGCAACCUUCGUGUUAUUGCCUCAACACUGGAGAAUUCACAUCGGAUUCAGGAUCGGACUGGUGACUUUCUGGGAGAUUUGGAUGAUGAAGAUGAUGAUGCUGGCCCAGCACUGUGAAGGAAUCACAUUUAAUUUGGAACCAUUGUUCCGAGCCUCAUCCUGUUGUGUGAUGUGUUCUUCAAGGUUGUAUGUUACAUGAAUUUUGUAUGAAUGAAAUCUCAAGUCUCCUCAGAAAGGAUCUGCUUGACAUUUGUCACAUGACUGUGUGCCACGUUGUCGAGUGUGUCGGACUCAGCUGCAAUACUCUUCUGACUCAUUCAGCAUUCUCUGGUGUGUGAGUGAAUCAGUGUUUUAAAUAAUAUGUUUGUAUCUGGUAUAUUCUUAAGUUAUUUUCUUACCAUAGUAAGAAAAUGGACAUAAACAUCUGAAAUGUGUUUCAACAGGAAAUAAAUUUGGAAUCUUAUAACUGUA